CUCUUGCCUUCUGCCAUGUAAGAUAUGACUGUGCUCCUCCUUCACCUUCUGCCAUGAUUGUGAGGCCUCCACAGCCAUGUGGAACUCCAUGAGUAUGACUAUGUGCUGAGUCCUGUGAGUCCUCCUACUGAAUCAUCAAAGCCAGGGGGGAAGCUGUUUUUCCCUCUUUGGGGUCUCAGAGAGAUUGGUGGCAAGGACUCCUGGGAAGAGAAAAGCUGAAGGACACUCUGGCAAGAGGAAACCCCGAGCCAAACGUAUGGCCACCUCUGACCACUCGACCAGCCCAGCAUGGUGUACAUUUCUGGGUAGCUUAUCACGCCUUCCAAGCAUUGCCUUUAUCUUCCUUCUCCCCAUCAAGCCUGUAUUGUUUUCCUUUUGAAUCAUAAGCACUUUUGUUAAAUACCUCAAAUCUUUCGAGAACAGCAAGGAGCAAAAUAAACUUAA
rnacentral:lncRNA from 10 species